rnacentral:rRNA from 1 species
UAUUGGUCAAUUGACGCGAGUCUGAACCAGCCAAGUAGCGUGUAGGAUGACUGCCCCAUGGGCUGCAAACUUCUUUUAUAUGGGAAUAACGCUUUCCACGUGUGGACUUUUGUAUGUACGAUAUGAAUAAGGAUCGGCUAACUCCGUGCCAGCAGCCGCGGUAAUACGGAGGAUCCGAGCGUUAUCCGGAUUUAUUGGGUUUAAAGGGAGCGUAGGUGGACAGUUAAGUCAGUUGUGAAAGUUUGCGGCUCAACCGUAAAAUUGCAGUUGAUACUGGCUGUCUUGAGUACAGUAGAGGUGGGCGGAAUUCGUGGUGUAGCGGUGAAAUGCUUAGAUAUCACGAAGAACUCCGAUUGCGAAGGCAGCUCACUGGACUGCAACUGACACUGAUGCUCGAAAGUGUGGGUAUCAAAC